CGGAGCAAACACAAAACACAGUCUCAGUUCAGAUUGUAGGCUGAAACUCGCCUAUAUGAAGUCGGAAUUGCUAGUAAUCGCGGAUCAGCAUGCCGCGGUGAAUACGUUCCCGGGCCUUGUACACACCGCCCGUCACACCAUGAGAGUCGAUAACACCCGAAGCCUGUAGUCUAACAGCAAUGAGGACGCAGUCGAAGGUGGGAUUGAUAAUUAGGGUGAAGUCGUAACAAGGUAAC
rnacentral:rRNA from 1 species